rnacentral:rRNA from 1 species
UACGUAGGGGGCAAGCGUUGUCCGGAAUCAUUGGGCGUAAAGAGCGUGUAGGCGGCCAGAUAAGUCCGCUGUGAAAACUCGAGGCUCAACUUCGAGCUGUCGGUGGAAACUAUUUGGCUAGAGUCCGGAAGGGGAGAGUGGAAUUCCUGGUGUAGCGGUGAAAUGCGCAGAUAUCAGGAAGAACACCCGUGGCGAAGGCGGCUCUCUGGUACGGAACUGACGCUGAGACGCGAAAGCGUGGGGAGCGAACAGG